UGUCUCUGGUAUUCAGGGCAUUGCUUGC
rnacentral:piRNA from 1 species